GAUGAGCCUUCUUUUAUUGCUGUAAUAAAAGCUUUUACAUCUAUUAUUAAAAAUUUAGGUGUACUAAAUUAUAUAUUUCUUUUUAACUAAUGGAAUUUUGAAUCAAACUACAAGAAAAAUUAAGAUUACAAGAAAUUCAAUCUAUUUAAGGCUUAUAAUUUUUUAACCAUAAUAAUCUUAAAAUAAUUAGAUUAAAGGGAGAUUUUAUUAUAUUAAAUAUUAUUACGCUAUUAUGAGCUUUAAUUUCUACAUCUAAAGAAAUAAUCUUAUAGAUAAUAUUUUUAAAAGAUAGCAAAUAACCAUCUAUGACUUCUAUAUGUAUGGAUUUAAUUUUUUUGUUUCAUAAUAUUUCUUAUUUUUUGACAAAAUCUUUCUCUAUAAAACAUGACAAAGCUCCUAAAUCUAAUAAGGCUAAGAUUUUUUGAUUUUUUGGUCCUAAAUAAAUUUCUAUUAUAUAACAAGAUAAAGAAUUUGAAAAAAAAAAUAAGAUCUUUAUUAGAUGUUAUACAAGAUUCUAAAUGCAUGGUCUCUAUUGUAAUUGGAGAAACUCUUUUUUCAACACAUCAACCUCUUUUGCAACCAUACUCUACAUUUUGUGAUUAUGUUGCUUUUUUAAAUAAUAUUGAAUAGUAUUCUUGGAUUCUCUAUAAUAUAGGUAUAAAUCUUCUUGACAAUGAUAAGUCUUUUCUUGCUCAAUAAGAAGUUUAAAAUAUAUCAUGUCAAUUUGUAUAAGCUUUGGCCUAAACAAGUAAGCUUCUAAAAACUUAGAAAAUGUUAUUAUAGCUUGACUUGUACAUCUUCAAUCAAAUCUUUGUUCUUGGUGUCUUUUAAAGAAUCAAUUGUUGCAUAUAAUGGCUUGAGUAAUAAAUUUCCUCAAUGAAUCAACUCUCAAUAUUGUUAAUAAUAAAUUUCUUAUUUUAUCUUUUAAUCCAUAUCAAAAUUAAUUGAUAAGAACUUUAUCAUUUCAAUCUAUAUUAUAAAGAAUAUUUUUAGAAUUCAAUAGUAUAUAUAGUGGUUGAACAUGAUCCUUGUUGUAGCAAUAUGAGCUUGGUUUCUAUUACUCUUUUCCAAUUACUUUUUCUACAUAUAGCCGUAAAUACUUCUAAGAAAGAAUUUAAAUCAAAGUAUAGUUAUGAAUAUUUUUUCAUUAAAGGUGCAAACCAAGGGAGAGUACUUCUUAAUAGAAGUGCAAUUAUGAAUCCAACUUGAAUAAAUCCAUUGACAUAUUAAAAAAAUACAAUCUUAAAUAUAACUUAAUUUAUUACAAAAAUCUUCAAAAUUUUGAUCUUAUUCCAUUAAACUUCUUAGACAUACUAAUUCUUUCUUCCUUCAUGCUUGUAGAAACUAAGCUUCCUAAAUUUGAUUAUGAUAUUGAUCUACUUGCAUUCUUCUACUACAUAAAUUUUUGGCAUAGACAUUAGACUUCUUCUAUAUGUGUAGGAAUAAUACUUACAUGAUUCAUAUUAAAAAUACAUGAGAUUUUUACUCUUAGAAUAUUAAAAAUUUUAUAAAGAUCUACAAUAGUUGCAAUUCUAUUCUUACUUUCGUUGAGAAUAGCAUCCAAAAUCAUUUCUUUUAUAGAUAAUUCAAAUAAUUAUAAAAAGAUAAAUUAUAGGAGGGUAAUCUAUAACAUCUAAUAUUUAAUAAAAAUUUCUAUAAAAAUAGAUAAUUCACUUUUUUUAUAAAAAAAAGUAAUAUUAAAAAAUUAAAUUAUUUAUUUAAAGGUAAGUAGUCUACAAUCUUUAAAAUAUAAUAAUAGAAGUAAGAUAAUCUAUGUAUUUCUAAAACAAGAUAAGAAUAAUAAGUUAACACUCUUAUUGAAUUAUCAAAGAUAUGAAUCUUAAAAAAAGAAAUCCUUAAUAUAUUCUUAUGUCACUCAAAAAGGCUAAAAAAUCAUUCAAAGAUGAUAAUAUAUUAAAUUAGAAUGGCUAUUAUCAAAUACAAAAAGACUAAAAAGACUUGAAAUAAGACUAAGGACUAGAAAGGCAUUGACAAGAGUAAAGAAAGCUUUACUCUUACUUCUAUAUAUACUUUCUAAUUAGAAGCUAUAUGAUAAUGUUCUAUAGGAUCUCCAAUAUGUUUUGACCUUGUUAGACACAUGUCUUAACUUGCAAGAUAAGUUUUCUAUAUGUGCACUACAUAGUUAACUUGUUCUACAAGCUAGCAAUAUGUGUAUCAUGUGGUUAAUUUUUUGAUCAAAUUUCUAAUCUAUCAAUCAACUAAAAACAUGUGUAAAGUAAAAACCAUGUCUACAAAGCUUCUAAAAAGAAAUUAUAAAAUUAUUCUAUAUUUAAUUAUUUUUAUUUAAUUAUAUAGAUAAUUAUUGAAAUAAAUACAUAUAUUUGUGAUAUUUUACUAAACACAUGUCUUAACUUGCAAAGAAAGUUAUUUAUAUGUACGUCAUAUAAUAAUUUUUCUAAAANNNNNNNNNNNNNNNNNNNNNNNNNNNNNNNNNNNNNNNNNNNNNNNNNNNNNNNNNNNNNNNNNNNNNNNNNNNNNNNNNNNNNNNNNNNNNNNNNNNNNNNNNNAUAUAUAAUUUAAUAUACAUCAUAGUGAAAGCCACGUUAUUAGAUUUUGGUUAGUUACAAAAUGUAGUUAAAUUAUUACUAUGAAGUAAUAAUUUAAAAGAGCUACUAUUGAUAUUAAUUUUAUAUUAAUAAUAAUUUUAUAUAUUUAGAGCCACAUUUAUUAAAUAUUGGUGAUUCUUAAAAUCUUAAUUUAUUUUACUUAUUUAAUAUUUUUUAUAUAAAAAGAAAUAAUUAGGCUAUUUAUAUAGAUGAAGGGAGAUAGAUGAUAAAAAUCUCCAUUCAUAUUGGCCAAAUAUUAUGUCUAAUGGCCUUCAAGGAAGCAAUUUGAGGCCUUAUUAGGAAUUAGAAUUAUUAUUUUAAGAACUUUCAAACAUCAAAGAUUAGGGUCGUUAAGAUUAGGAUUUUGGAUAUAGUUUUGAUAAAAAUAUUAUGUGAUUUGGAGUUUUUGUAUAAGAGAUAUAGGCGCACAAAGUCAAGGUGUUGAUUUUUUACCUACUGUUAUUCUUUGAGGCAUAGCGCAUGUGUAUAAAGAACUUUUAAAGAUCGGAUUAUGCAAUUAGAAAUUUGAAUUAAAGAAAUAUAAUUUGCAUUAAAAUUUAUAUAAAAUCUUAUAUUCUAAAAUAUUCUAAAAAUAUAUACAAAAUUCUAGCACAACUCCAUUUAAAUUUAAGAACUUACUCAUCUGCACUGCAACUAAUGUUUGAGAAAAUUUUAUAGGUUAUAUCAGCUCACUCAGAGACUUUCUUAUUAUUGGAUUGAAUCUUUCAAGUACAUACCUCAAUGCUUAAAACCUUGCUCUUAUUGUCAAUAAAAAAAAUUGAUAGAUUGUAUAAAGACUUAUCUAAAACUUGGCACAUAUGUAUAAGAGAUCAUCAUGAUAAGAGUAGAUUUAUUCAUGUAAAUUCUGAAAGAUUGUUACAUAUGACACCAAUAAAUGUUCUUUGUAUGUCCUACAAAAUUCUUGAAAUUCUAAUUCAUCUAACUUCUUCUACUUCAGCCUAUUAUUAUCACAAACAUACACAUUCACUCCAAUAAUUAUCUAUAUGAUUAUAUAAAAGUACAUAAAAGUAAAUAAAAGUAGAUUAUUUCAUAAUAUCUUUUAGAAAUGCUUCUUAGAUUCUUCAUAGAUUUUGCUUUGACUUUACAUGUAUUUGGCUUAUGAUUGAGAACCUAUUCUAAUUCACAAUGAUUUGAUUAUUUAAUGAUUCUAAUAAUUCUUUCUAAGCAUUUGAUUUAUGUUCAAGAAGUCUAAUAAAUUUUUAAUUGUGAGCUAAAAAAAUAUUUAGUUUAGGUGAUUUAUUCUAAUCCAUAAUUAUUAAUUAAUAUUUGAGUUGAUUAUAUAAAAUUUCUUUUUAUUUUUUUUAUAAAAGACCUUAAGUUAUUUAGCUAAUUAAACUCAUAAUCAAACAACUAUAAACAAGAAUAUCAAUAUUUAAAUAAUUCAACAAUACUACAAUUAAAAGAAGAAAUUUUUAUAUGAUUUUAAUUUGAAUUUUUUAGUAUUAAUUAUUAUUCAAAUUUAAAACUUUAUCUAAAAAUAAUUUCUUAUCUAUAAAUGAAUUUUCAUCUUUUUAAAAUAAAUUUUUAUUCAUCAAAAUCUAUUCAAUUUGACUUAACUUUAUCCACAUAAUUUUUAUCUAAUGGAAUUCAAUUUCAUCAUCAAUUUUUAUCCACAUGAUUUAUCUAUAAUAGCUAAUUAAUGGACUUACUAUAUCAUCCAAAUAAGAACCAAAAGUAGUUGGCACUUUUAAACCUAUUAUUGUACCUACUUUCAUAAUUUAAUGUACUACGGCUAAUUUUAAGAUUUAAAUUUAAUCCAAUUAGUUUUGUUAAAAAUAAGACUUAAAGACGCAUCCACUUUCCAAAUUUUGCCUUCAAAUUCAGUUGUGUGACUCUAAUAUUGCCCCUCAAAAUUGAUGCUUUGAUUUGGCAAGGUAAUAGGCCUCUUUCUACAAACAUCAACAUUCCUAUCAUGCCCUAAUUCUAAUAUGAUUUAUUCUUAGUUUUUUAGAAUCUACACUUUUUCAACUCUUUAGAAAAAUAAUUUUUUUGGCUAUAUAACUUAAGAGUAAUAAAGAAGAGCCUUCUAAAAUGGAGCUACUAAAUUAUAAGAUAAGGAAUAUGAUCCUUUACUAAAUUAGAGGUUUCUUCCUCAUAAAAAUUUUAAAUUUUUAUAUUUUUAUAUCUAAAAAAUUCCAACAAAAAUCACUACUUUUUUCUAAAAUAUCCAAAAUUAAUUCAAAAGAAUAAAAGAAACAAACUGGAACUAUCAAUUGCUUACAAAUUCUAUAAAAAAAUUGGCAUGGCUUUGUCUAUCAAUAAAAGAAAGAGCAAGAGAGAGAGAGAGAAAGAGAGAGAGAGAGAAAGAGAGAGAGAGAAAGCGAAAGAGAGAGAGAGAGAGAGAGAGAGAGAGAGAGGCUUAGCUACCCAAUCCUUUUAUAUAAGUAUUUAAAGUUCUAAAAAUAAUAGUUACAUCUCUAACAUUGAAAUUCUAUGAACCUAAUCAAAAUCUAUGGUUUACAAGGCCUUCCAAAUAUAAAUCCGAUUAUAGGACUAGAAACCCUCAUAACUAUCCAUUAAUUAUGUUUUUUUUAUAAAACUAAUGCUAAUAUUGUAUUCAAAAUAUAUUUUUAUUCCAAGAUUGCCUCCUUGCUUGUCCAAAUCUAUACAAAAAUGUAACAUUUAUGUAGUUUUAAAGAAUUAUGAUCCAAAACUAAUUGGCUAUUUAAAUGCUAGAAGUUAGUCACCAAUUAGUGCUAUAAUUUUAUCAAAGAACUUGUAGAAGUUUUAUCACCAAAUUAAAUUUUAAAUUUUCUAAAAGAUCAUGGAUUUUGAGAGAUUAUGAGUUUAUUAAUCUUUGGAGAUUCUAAUAAUUCUAAGAAGUUAAGAGAAUGUUAAAAUUUAGUAUUUUCUUUUGAAAAUAUAAGCUUUAAUCUAUUCAAUAGAAGAAAGAAGAAAAAAAUGAAAUCAAUAAAAAUAAAUAAAAUAACUAAAAAUUAAAAAUUAAUAUUAAUGUAGUUAUUUUUUUUAAUACAGAAUUUAAUUUUAAACUUUUAGAGCUUAUAUAUCUUUUUAUAUUACUAUAAUUUCUAAUUUCUUAUAUUAAUAUUAAUUUUUCUUCAUAUAAAAUCUUUUAAAUUAAACUUCAUUUGAUAAUUAUAAUUUGGUACUCUAAAUGCAUCUUUUUAUUCUAAAACAACUAGUAAGUUGAUUUAAUGACUUAUACUAGCCUUGCUUAGAAGUUGAUUUAUAAGCUACCUCUAUUUGUGAAGUGUGAUCAAAUCUCAAGUGGCUUGGGGAUGCUUUUGAAUCAAAGAUUCUUUCUAUUUGUGAUUGUUGCUUCUAAAUUAUUUGCUCAUUACAUGCUUCAAUGAAUUCAUUAAUAUUGUUGAAGUCCUUAGACUUAAGAGAAGAUAGCUAAUUUCUAAGCCUCUCUUAUGCUAGCUAGUUGAUUGACCUAACUUUGCACUAGCUAGGCUCAUGCUUGCUUAUCUCUUCUAUUCAUGUUUCAUUUGAUGCACUUUCCUUCUAUUUUUUUGCUUGUCUCUAUUUUCCUAAGCUUAAAGAGGAUUUAAUUCUAUAAGUCUAAAUCACCAAAUAUUAUUGUAGUGGUCUAUAGGAGAAGAAAGGAGCUUUUGUCUCUAAAAUAGAAGGAUUAUCCUUGGUAGUGCUAUAUGAAUCACAAAAUUUAUUCACUUGGAUAUUUAGUAUAAAAAAUGUACUUAUUAUACUUUAUAUCACAAGUUUUAUGAAUUAAUAGAAGAAUUAUUAUAUAAUUAAAAAAAUAAAAAUAUUGGUAUAAAUUAAAAUAUAUAAUAAUUUUUUGAUACAAAUUUCUAAAAUAAAAAGAUUUUUAAAAUUUAACUAAUAUUAAAUUAUAGUCUGAUAAAGAUAAUUUAUUAUCAUUAAUUUUUUAUUGAGAUAGAAAUUAAGUAUAAAUAUUAAAUUUUUUAAAAAAAAAAAUUAAAAAAAAAAUAGCUUUUUAUAAUUAAAAUAGAAUAGAAUCACUAAAUAAAAAAUAAAAAAUAAAAAAAUAAACCUUGUCUUCUUAGAAAUUCCAAAUUGUGAAUGAUGAUUCAAAAUUUUGGAAAAGAGUUACUAAGGGCCAACAAAGUGUACAAUUUGGCAGCAUUCUUUUUCUUUUUUAUUUUUAUUAUAGAGAGAAGCUAUAACUUUUUUUCGUGUUGAGUUUAUUGCAGUUCCAGUAUUAUAGAGCUCUUGUGUACUUUCAUUGAGUCUAAAGUAUGGUCUUUCCUAGUAAGGUGUAGCAAAGUACACCCUUGUUUUUUGGUGACCUAUGGUUGAAGCAAGCGCUCUUCUACAACUUUAGUAUUUUUUGACAGUUGUUACAAAAUGGCCUCUUUUGUUGAUUGGAAAUUGCAAUAUAGUAGGGAUUGCUCAAUCAAAGGAAGGUGGCAUUGCUUUUUCCUUGAAUUGGCUCUUUUCUUAGUGAGGAACUUUGAAUUGUAGCAAAAUAUUAUCAAACUUGAUUUUUAGUUGUUCGAUUUUGUAAUUGGAGGCAGAAAGGUGCAUCCUUCUUAAUUCUUCUUCAAGCUAUGGAAGAAGUACAAUCUUUUGAUUCUUUUGUAUCAUCAUCAUUGUUGGUUUUUUCAUGCAAAAAUCUUUUUUUUUUAAAUCUUGAUUAAGUUUCAAGUUGGUGGUUGCAACUGAUCUGCAAUUGUAUACGAUAAGCUUCAUUAAAUAUUGUAUAAUAUAAAUUCUUACUUAGAAAUGUACCAAGCACGUAGUUAUGGAAGAUAAAUAGAAAAUAAAAUAACAGGAUUUUAUCAAAUUUAUUAAAAUCUUAAUUAAAUUAAAAAUAAUCUUUAAUAAUCCUAAUCAAAUUUUAACUAAUUCAAAAAAUAUUAAUUACAAAAAAACCCAUAAAGAAGUCAUAAACUAAUCUCAACAAAAAAAAUAAAGAAAUCUUAAAGAAAUAUAAAAAUAAGAUUUUUUUUAAAAAAAACUCUUAAAAAAAUAUUUAAAAUAAAAAUCUUAAAUAAAUCCUAAUAAAUCCUAAAUAAAUCCUAGAUAAAUCUUAAUCAAAUUUUGAUGUAAUCUUAAUCAAAUCCUUAUGAAAUUCUAACAAUUCUAAAUAAAUUCUAACAAAAUCUCAAUCAAAUUUUAAUUUUAUUCUUUUCAAAUCUUAGAUCAAAUCUCAAUCAAAUUCUAAUUAAAUUCUAAAUUCUAUACCAAAUCCUAAAUUCUAAACUCUGAAUCAAAUCCUAAUCAAAUCCAAAAUCCUAAAUCAAUUCCUAAUAAAAUCCUAACUAAAUCCUAAAUCCUAAACCAAAUCUCAAACAAAUUCCAAACAAUCCAAAACAAAUCCUAAGUAAAUUUCAAUUACUCUCUAAAGUAAUUUUAAAAUCUCAAUAAAUAUUAAUCAAUUUUUCAUUUUAAAUUAAAAUUUCACUGACAUUUUAAACUAAAAUCAAUUAACAAACACAUAAAAUUUGAUGAAAAUAAAAUUCAUCAAUUAAAAGUAAAGCUCUCAAAAUUGCUUGGAUGUUGAUUGCCUUCUUUUUUCAACUCGAAUGUUGAUCUUUAAAAAGUCUUUUUUUUCUUGUUGAUUCAUUUAAAAAUUUUCUUCAAAAAUUGGCUAGUAUCCAGAUUUCUAAGUCUAAAUUACUCUUAUUGAUUUCAGCUUCAAUUGAAUUGGUAGAUAUUGCAAGAUCACAAAAAUCCUCAUUGAUCCUAAAUUUUAAUUAUUCAAGAUCAUAACUCACAAAAACUCUCAUAACCAUCAAUCUAAUUAUUUGAUUAACAUCAAAUUUUUCAAACACAUUCAACAUAAAUAUAAUUAUAUAUUUACAAAAUUUUACUUGCAAAUAUGCUACAAAAUUCAUAAAAUCUUUAAAUUUAUAAUUUUUUUAUUAUUUUUCAAAAUCCUAACCUAUUAAAUACAUCUCUUACUUUGAAAAGCUCUCAAAAUCUCUAUAUGCCUUCAAAUCUCAUAAAAUCAAUUUUUAUAAGUUUUCUUUUAAAUCAUUCUCUCUAAUCAACUAAAAUACCUCAAAGUUGCUAUAGGUAUGCAGUUUUGUAUAUUAGGAUUUGAUUUCAAUCUUCAUUCAUGCUUAUGUUGAUUCUUUAUCUCAUUUAUUUUCAUUUGACUUACUUAUAUCCCUUUAAAGUAAGUAAAAGUUUUUCCUUCAAGAAGGCAGUAUUAGCACUUAUUAAUUGUUAUUACUUCCUUAUCUAUUAUUUAUAUUUUUAAGAUAAUUCAAUAAAUUAUUUUCACUUAAGCUCUUUUAUAAUAUAAUCUUUUUUUUUUCUUCUUUUACCAUAUAAUCGUACUAUCAUAUAAUAUUGACUUAUUAUCAUUUUUAUUUUUAUUUUUUCAUUCAAUCAAUGAUCUAGCCUUCUUAUGAUCUUGAAACACUACAUGUUUUAUAGAUUUGUAUAUAAAAAGAAGAGUUUUUAUGGCACAAAUUGAGAUCCCUUUUGAUGAGGGAAUUUGGUUACUAUUUUAAUUGAUAGAUGUGGAUUGAUUUACAGGUCAAGGUUGAAUAAUCAUUGGUAAAGGUAGCAAAUUUAAAAGUAGAAAAAUGUUCUACAAGGUUGUCAUUGUCAAAAAAAAAAUCAUUUUGAGUGGUCUCGGUGCAUCAAUGGUAUUGAAAAAUUAAAACAGAAUUAAGAAAAUAAUAUAAAGGUAUUUUGCAAUAUUAGGAAUUGAUUGGCUAUGAAGGAAGUUGGUUUUAGAUAUAUAAAUUGGGCAUGACUUGCAUGAUUUUUAAGAGUUUUUUUUUUAUAUCUCGUGUAUAUAGAUUGGCUCUGAAUCUGAUUCCAUUCAUAUAGAAGCCAGAUUGGUUGCCACAAUACUCAGCAAUAGUUAGAAGUUUUUUUGAAUUUCCAAAGAAUAUGCUAAGUAGUUUGUUUAAUAAGAAAGAAUUGAAGGUCAAAGACAAAUAAAUCCUUCAAAUUGCAUGGAACUUAAAAUCACAAAAUAAUAUAAUAAAAGAAUUAAAAAUUUGUCUUAUUAAGAUUACAAAAGUUAUUGAAUUUGUAGCAUCUUUAAUUCAUGUAGUACAUAAGAAAUAUAAAGAAUCUUUAUCAAAAGUUGAUUGCUUGUAUAAACAACUCGUACAAGUAGUUAAACAGAUCAAAGAUGCUAGUGUGUAAAAGAUAGCUACACUAAAAAUCAAAGAAGGUGCUUUAUAAGAAACUCAUAGAUAUUGAUUAGAGCUUAAAAAACUUCAAGAACAAGGAGCGGCUACUAAACAAUUGAAGAAGACAUUCCUACUUACUAGAAGGCAGAUUGAAGUUGAAUUGUUGUUAUUUAGUCUAGUAAAUUAGGAUCUAGUAUUUAGCUACCUUCAAAAACCUUAUAUUUGAUGAACAUUUAGAAUGGAAUAAAAAUUAGGAAUUAAAUAAGAUUAAGUUAAAUUAAAAUAAAGUUAAAUUAGAAUUUUAGAGCAAUCAAUUUUGGAUGAAAUUUUCAAUCAAUAUUAAACUUUAAUUAUAGAUGAAGUAUGUAGAAGAAAUAUUAUUUGUAGAUAAAAAUUUAUUUUUAAAUGAUAAUUUAUACUAAGAUGAUUUUUUUGGAUGAUUUUUAUAUAAAUAAAUAAAAUAAAUUAAAAUAAACAUAAAAAAGAUAAAAAUAAAUAAGUAUAAAAAUAAAUAAUUAAUUAAAAAUAUAUAUUAUUUGAUAUAUGAUUUUUGUGAAUGAUUUAUUAUUAUAAGUAUAAAUAAUAUUAGAAGUUUUGCUUAUUUACUUAAUUUAUUUAAGAAGGCUAAAUAAUGAUUGAAUUUAGAUUGAAUUUAAAUUGAAGAAGAACUAUACUUUCAAAAAUAAUUAUAUAAUUAAUUCAUUUAUUGUGAAUUAGAAUAAACUUCCAACUAAUGGAGGUUUAUUUUAGCUUACACAUUUCCAUAGUUUUUUUUCUAGAAGUGGCAUCAAGGUCAAAUAUCCUAGAAGGUCUUUACCUUAAAUUUCUAUAUGAGCUACUAUUACAAUCCAUUUUUGCUUGCAUAGUAUUUAACAAUUACAGACUAAGUAUAGUGUAGAGAAGCAAUACUGGUACAUAAUUAAUAUAUUAUUAUAGUCCAUUUGUAUAUGGCUUGUCUCCUUUAUUAUUGGAUUUUUUACUUUAUUUUUGAAUAUUUUUUAUCAUUUAAUGACCUUUUAUAAAGUAUGCAAUGACCAUGUACUUUGUGUAGUGUUCUAUCUUACCUUUUAUUUUAUUGCAAUCUACCUUUGCUUCUAUUAUAUUUUUUCUAAGUAAGAAAUCAAUACUACUAUCGAAUAAUAUAGCUAAAAAUUAUACUUUCAAGAAUGUACGAAUAGAAUAAAUAGCACCAUACAAGCCUAGAUUGAUUAUUAUAGCCACAAAUAUUAUAUAUCUACUACAUUGUUUUAAUUGAUGUAUUUUGCCUAUCUACUUAUUUUAGACUCCAUUGAUUGGAUUGGCACAUGAUCCAUUUGUAGCCUUAAGUAUACUUGCAUAAGUGGCCAUAGUCAUUGCAUGCCAUGUUAUGUCGUUUUUGUAAAUUUAAUAUUUUUUCCUAAUAAAUGUCUAUCGUAUUGUACUUGUGUUCUAAAAACUAUUAAUUCUAAAUUAAAAAUCCUAUUGUGAUCAAUUUUACCAUUAAGCUUCCUAAUACUUUGAAGAGCUUCUACUAAUAAUAGUGAUUGAAUUUGAGUAAAUCAAUAGAAAACAAUACGGAUCCUUUUGUAUUCAUGAAAGUUCUAUAUUUAAGCAUGGAGAGCUAUCUGAAGCCUCAUUGAAUUUGAUGUGGUUUUUUUUUUUAUUUUUGGUAUUUUUGACUUUUGGAUAUAUACUAGCAUUGAUAGGUAAGUUUAGACAUGUAGACAUAAAAGUUAUAAAUAAGUGACAUCCUUUUUAAGCCUUGAGUUUUAAUCUACAAAAUAUGUUUAAUUAUAUAUAUAUAUGCAUAUAAAAAAUAUAAAAAAUCUAAAACUGUAACAACCAUGUGAUGACUAACUUGUUGAGCCAUCUAGUACUCAUACAUUCUUAGAAAGCUGUAUGACACCAUUUUCACAUGAACGGUGCUAUGCUUCAAUGGUAUAAAAAGGCCAAAAUUGUACUAAAUCCUCAUAAAAUAUUUCUAGCAAUUCAAAAGGGAGUUUUACUAUGAUAUGUAGUAUCAAAAAAGAGUAAAAAACUUGAUCCAAAGAAGGUCAAAAUUAUAGUACAAUUAAAUCCUUCUUCAAUGGUGAAAGAGGUGCAAAGAACCUUAAAAUAUAUAAGUUGGUAUUAAGAAGUCAUACAAAAUUAUGCUACACUUUCCAUGCCUAUAAAUUAAUUAAUACAAAAAGAGGUAAAGUUUGAAAGAGAUAAAAUAUGCUAAGAGGCAUUUGAUAUCCUUAAAAAAAACUUAGUACUUUUUUCAUUCUAAGACCACACAAUUGGACAUUGUUCUUCCAUUUACUUUAUGGCAUUUUUUUUUGUGGCAAGAGCAAGUACAUUGUAUUAAGUAAGUAGAAAAAAUGACAAGGAUUAUUUUAUAACCUUUAUUAAUAGUCAAUUAAAUUCUACAAAAAGAAAUUAUAUCACUACAAAAAGAGAGUGUCUUGCCAUAGUAUUUUUAUUAAGAAGUUUAAAUACUACUUCUUUAUGAAUCUAAUAGUAUUUUUUGUAGACCACAUGGCAAUUAAAUAGCUUUUGAAUAAGGCUGAUUUGAAUAAUAGACUAAAAAGGUAGAUAAUUUUAUUAAUGAAACUCAAUUAUGUAAUAGAAUACAAGCUUGAAAAGAUGCACAAGCAAGUAGAUCAUUUAUCUAGAUUAUCAAAAUAAAUUCGUAAAGCCCCAAUUGACAAUACUUUGAUAGAUAAAAGCUUGUUUAUUGUUUUAACUACUCCAACUUGGUAUGAAUUAAUUACCAAACUUUUGAUAAUAUAAGCCUUACUUCUUCACCUUUUUAAAAUAAAACAUAGAAAGAUAAAAAUUAAUACUAGAAACUUUAUCAUAAUUGGUGGCAAAUUAUAUAGACAUAGAGUUGAUAGGAUGUUAAGAAAAUGUGUGAUAGAAAAAGAAAUUCUUACUAUUCUAUUCGCAUGUCAUGAUACUGCAUAUUGGGAGCAUUUUUUAAAAAUCUUAUUUAGCCAAAAAAUCCUUAAAAUUAGCUAUUAUUGGCCUAUAUUAUUCUAAAAUAUAUAUAAAUAUAUCAAAACAUGCAAAGCAAGUCAACAAUAUGCUAAGAAUGAGUUUAUUCUUCUAUAUAUUUCUACUUUUAAUUUCUUCUAAGAAAUAGAGAAUUGACUAUAUUGAAGAGGUUUAUGCCAAUUCUAUUAGUAGAAUAAAAUACAUAGUGAUAGUAACCAAAUACUUGACUAAAUAGGCUAAGGCAAAGAAAAUUAAAGCCAACAAUGCUAAGCAAGCUGCUAAAUUUUUCUACAAGCACAUGAUUACUAAAUUUGGAUGUCCAAAAAUUUUAAUUAAUAAUAAGAACAAGUAUUUUUUAAACAAGGUGAUAGGAGACUUAACUAACUAAUUUAAAAUUAUUUAUAAGAAGACUACUCCUUAUAACCUUCAAAUCAAUGGACAUACAAAAAGGAUCAAUCAAACUUUGAUUAAUAUUCUAAAAAAAAAAAUGACAACAUCUAAAUGAGAUUGAAAUAUAAAGCUCCUUGUAGCCUUGCAGACUUAUAAGACAAUUUUUAAGGUGACGAUCCAAGCAACCUUAUUUUCCUUUAUUUAUGGCAUAGAAGCCAUUUUACUAAUCAAGUUUGAAAUUUCUUCUCUUUAAAUUGACUUGAGAGAACAAUUGUCAAUUAAAAAAGCUUUAAUUAAUGGACUAGAAUAAUUAGAAGUUUUAAAUGAAGCCAAAAGACGAAGUGCUUAAUAUACAAAGGUAAUCCAAAGAAAAAAAAAUACCUUUGAGAAAUGAUACAAUAUUAGAUCUAACAAUAGUUUGUAUUAGCUUCUUGUUAUGCCUUGGCUGGUUGGUCCUCUUAUAAGAUGUUAGGAGAUUAGAUUUCUCAAAUAAAUUUGAUGCUAUUUGCUUGGGUCUUUACUUAGUUAAAGAAGUAUUUUCAAACAAUUGAGUUUGGUUUCAAAUCCUCGAUGAAGAAGAUUUUUUUAUUAAAAAAUUUAGUAAUCAAUGCAAAGAAUACAUAAUAUGAUUUUAAUCAUAUACAUGGUCAAAUGGCUUAUUCUUUAAUUUAUCCUUAUUCAACUUCUUAAAAUGACAAAUCAUCAAAAUUAGAUAAAAUUUAGGAAGCUAAAACAUUGCAGUUCAAGAUAAGCAAUAGCUGUAUUAAUUUAUCUUAUAUUCCUUUCAAUUUAAUUCCUUCACACAAAAAAUAUAAAUAUUCUAAAAUAAAGAAACGAAAAUUUGAUUAGACUGUUAUGAUUUUGAAUCAAAAUAUAUAUAUAUAUAUAUAUAUAUAUAUAUAUUAUAUAAUAUAAAGAGAUAAUUUGGAAUAGAUUAGCAUCUUUGGAUUAUAUGGCAAUUGGCUACAAAAGUAGUUAUGUAAGAGGUUAUCUAAGUUUGAAUUCAAUUCACAUAGAUAGCUAUCCAUAUGAGCUAGUGUAAAAGCAGGAAAGUAGCCAACUUGUGCAAUCUAAAGGAUAUGUAGGCCUCUAUGGCUUCUAAUCUACAUUCUUUUCUUUGGAGGAGAAUAACAUAGAAAUAAAUUUUAAUUUUUUCUUUCAAAUAUUUUAAUUUCCUUUCCUUCUCUAUUAUUCUACCUCUUUUGUUUUGUCUCUUUUCUUAUUCUAUAAAAUUAUCUUACAUGGCUUAGCAAGUAGACUAUUUUCUUCAAUAAACUUUCUAUCUUAAGAAAUAUAGUACUAGAAGAUAGGAGUGAAACUAAUACUAACCACAAUUUUUUUAGGAGUAUUUUACUUUGGUUUUUUAGCACUACUUCUUUUAGUUAAAAUAGAAUAUCAAAACUAAAGAGACUAACUUUAGAUAAAGACUUACCAAAAAGCAAGAGCUUUUGGAUUCUUUGCUACUUCAAUUUUUUUAGAUGAUUGCCAUAUAUAAAUCACACAAUUGACUUACUUUUGUGGUUAGUAAAAAAAACUUAUAUUUAUAAUACUAAAAAUCACCAAUCUAGUAAAUUGAAAUAUAAGUUUUUAAAUAAAUAGCAAAAAUAGGAUUUUAAUACAAAAUUAGGUCCCUGAUAGGGUUUCUUUGAGAAAAAAUUAUAAGAUAAAUAUUUUCUCCUUAAUUAAGCUCAUAUUGAUUUAUGAUGUUUUUUAUGGUAGAUUUAUUCCAUGAAAAAGUUAAUUGGAUUAAGAGCGAAAUAUAAACUUCAUUUGAUUAGUCCAAAAAAGUUUAAAAAAAAUAGAAGUAGAAAGGAAUAAGAAGGAAAAGAACCAAAAAAAAAAAAAAAAAAAAAAAAAAAAAAAAAUGAAGAUUAUCUUACAUGCCUCAAAUUUCCAAAAUAAGAGUGAAAUCCCAAGAUUUUGGAAAAGUGCUGUUAAGAUUUUUGUUGAGAAUGUUUGGAAAGACACAAGCGUAGUAGUAAGUAAUACACAUACACAAGAAUAGUAGUAAGUAAUACACACACACAAGAAUAGUAGUAAGUAAUAUACACACACAAGAAUAGUAGUAAGUAAUACACACAUAUAAGAAUAGUAAUAAGUAAUAUACACACACAAGAGUAGUAGUAAGUAAUACACACACACAAGAACAGUAGUAAGUUAUAUACACAAGAGCAGUAUUAAGUAAUACAUACACACAAGAAUAGCAGUAAGUCAUAUACUCAAGAGGGUUUUUAAGGAGAGAGAGCUUCACACAUAAAAAUCUAUUGAUCUAGUUGUGUCUUGUAUACAAGAAGAGAAAGGUGAGACGAUAAAUAGUUCUUCUUCACUAGACUCUAAAUACUGUAGCUAUGAUAUUUACUAUAGUCUACAGUAAAUAUUAUGGAGAGCAUUGGAUACAUUUAAUGCUCUCAACACUCCUCCUUGCUUAUGUUUGUUCAGUAACAACAGUUCUUCAUGAACAAUUGAUCACAUUACCAGCUUUGGUAUAGAAUGUUGCUUGCCUUUUACAUCUCUGAAUUCAACUUGUGGGCAGUAGCCAUGACUUCUAGUGGAUUUAGUUCCAAUGCAAUGUAGAACUGCAUUGAUGGUUUAGUAUGUUUGAUUUAAUAUAAGAAAUUGCAAUGAACGUACUUCACUAUUUGCGAAUGAUUUUUAUCUAUUUGAAGAACUACGUCAAUUUUACGUGAAUUAUAUUUGAAUAUUUAUUUAUUUAUUUUUCACUCUAUUUAUUUCUAAAAUGAAAAUGGUUGUAGAUGUUACGAGUACCAUCGAUAGCCUUUUUGUUGUUGUUACUCCACAAUGCAGUUAGGUCUUUCUCUUUCAUCAACUAUUGCAUCUUUGAAAUAAGAGAAUUUUAAUGCAGAGAAUGGAUUUAAAUAUUCAAAAUACAUAAUAGUUUAUAUAUAUAUAUAAGAAGUUUUUAUUCUAUUUGUAAUUACUAAAAUAUGUUAUAUAUCUCAAAACAGAUACAAGCUAGAAAUCUAUACCACCUUAUUUAAAUAUAUAUUUUUUACAAAUAAUUCUUAAUUUUUUUUUAAAACUAGAUUAGAGGAAAACUCAUUAAUAUAUAUAUAUAUAUAUAUAUAUAUAUAUAUUUUUUCUAUUCAAAAUAAAGUAUUUAUUUUAAAUUAAAUAUUUUUUAUUAUUUUGAUAUUAAUUUUUUUAAACAUCCAAUUUUUUUAAUGCUCAUUUAAUUGAUUUUGGUCAAUUUUUAUAAAAUAUUAAAUAUUAUAAAAAUACUUAUUAAUCUCUACUACUUAUUUUUAUUUUUAAAAUAUAUUACAUAAUAAGAAUAUUCUAUUAUAAUAUUUUUUUAAUAAUUAAUUUUUUAUUUAAUAAAUUAAUCAUAUAAAUAUUAUAAUAUUAUUAAUAGAUUAAAUUGAAGAGAAUUUUAAAUAGAUCCAUGAUUUUACUAAAUAAACCUACUUUUAAUGAAAAAUAUGAUAAUCAUGAUGAAUGUGGUUGGUUUGUAUUGGUUGUAGAUCUAAUAGUAGAAAAAUGAAUUUUAGAAGUUAUUAUUUUUUUCAUGAUGGUUAAGAUCGAUAGAUAUGUAGUAAAAACUUGGAUCUAUUUAACUUUCUUUAUUUUUGAUUAUAUCAAAAAAAAAAUUAAGGUUAAAAUUUAUUAAAAUUUAUUAUCAAUAUAUCACAUGAUAUGGUAUUACAUGCUAAAUCAUAUAUAUAUAUAUAUAUAUAUAUAUAGUUUAGUUUUAUUUCUGAUUUUCUAUCCAUUAAUAAUUUUUUUAUUAAUUAAUUUUAUCGAUAUCAACUAGAGUUCAAAUACUUAGGUAGAAAAUAUCUCUUGACUUGACAUUUUUGUCAAGUGAAAUCUUGUGAGAGAUUUUUGACAAAGAAAAUUUGUUAUAAGGUUUUGCUUGACUAUGAAAUAGACCUUAAAAAUAAAUUAUAAAAAAAUAAAUUAUGAUUGUUUUUGCUACUGGAUUUUGGAUACUAUUGUAUUGGAUGCUACAACCCAAAUAGGCCAUUGUAUUAGAAUACAAUUUAGUAAGGAAUCAUUGUUACAAUAUUAAGUAUUGUCAAGUCUGAUAUACUAUGCAAUAACAAGGUAUAAGGUACAUUGUUGCAUAUAAGACAUAAGGUUGCAUAUGAAUACAUCGAAAUAAGUUGCAGUAUGAACAAUAGAUUGCAAUACACAUGAGGGUUGUAAGAAGAUAUGACUAUAGUGGCAGUGGAUUGUAGAAGGUAGAAGCCUAUGCAGAGUUACAGCAUUAGAUUGUAUGAGGUAGAAGCAUAGUAGCUUGUUGUUGCAAUAGACAAGUUUCUUAAAUUUGCUUCAAUAUGCUCUUUAUAUCUUCUUUUUGUUUUGGUGCCUUGUAGCUUACUUUUUGCAAUCUUUAAUUUGGAACUUUGAAUGUUUGCAACUGAUAAGUAGAAUUGGUUUAUUCAGCUAAAUCUUGAAGAGAUAUUUUUGAUUUUGAAAGAUACUACUAUUUGGUGUUUGGUGAGCAAAUGGUACAACAUAGUGGUUUGGUAUAAAAAACAUGUGAAAAACAACAAGGAUCAAUAGUGGCUUAUAGCAAUAGUCAGUGACUUGUGAUAAUAAGCAAAGGUAAUUUGCAUCACAUUAUCACAAAAGAAUAGUGAUAUGGUUGUGUAGUUAUAAGAUUAAAGUGAUUGUAAGAUCCUUUUGUUUGUGGAUACGUUAGACUUAUAGUGAUCUAGAAGUGAUUGCCAAUGAACUGCAAAGCUUAAUAAUCUUUGCAGAUCUAAACUGAUAUUUUGGCCUUUAGAUAGUUAUAUGUAUCCAAAUAGUCUUUGUUAUGAUGUGAGGGUAAAUUUCACCUUUCAACCUAAAUUACAAGAUGGUUUCAAUUAAGAGUUGCUUAUAAUUGGUGGUGAGAUGUAAAAGAAGCAAAUAGCAAGAAAAAAGAAGAAUAAAUAUAAAAAAAUAAAAUAAAUAAAAUUGAGCAAUUUUACACAAUUCAAAACUUGGUCAUAGUCUAUUUACUGAAUUUUUAUCUAAUAAAAAAUAAAAAGUAAAAGUAAAAAAUAUAUGUAUUUUUUAAAAUUAUCUUUUUAAUGGUGUAAGAAAAUUUUAAAUCCAAGUUACUAUGAAUGAGUUAUGAAGGUUUUAAAAUAAUAAGUAAAUAAAUAAAAAUUUAAGUGAAAAUAUUUUACCUCAAAGAUAAGUUGCUUAUAGAUCAAGGAUUUGAGCUUCACCAAAGCUCACAUGUAGUAUAUAAGAGUAUCUAAAAGUGGCUACGAAUUCUUAAUCUUAUCCUUCUAAUUACAUUCAAGGUGCCACAACCUAUAUGAAACUUAUAGACCUCUUUUUUUACAAAGACUAUAUUAGCUACUAGUCCUCCUAUUUUUUACUAGUAGAACCAAUAUUUUUAUAUUUUUGACUUUAUUAUGGUAUUUAAAAACAUCCAAUUAGCCUAAAAACCUUGUAUGGCCUUCAAAUCUUACUCCAUUUCUUCAUAAUAGCUCUCCAAUUGAUAGAAUUUAUUUUUACCAAAGUCUUGAAAUUUGCUCUAAAAAUUCCUAAAAAAUUCUAAAUAAAUUCUAAAUAAAUUCUAAAACUUCUUAUAAUAUUUUUAUAAUUUUAAUAUAAAUUUAAUUUUAUAAUUUUUUUAUCUUAUUACUUUUUUAUAGUAAUAAAAUUAAUAUAAAUCAAUUAUAAAUUCUAUUUUUAUAUCAAUAAUUUAAAAGACAUGAGGCCCUUUUUUAUGCUUCUUUUAAAUAUUAACUAAUAUUUAUAGUUUUUUUUAUAAGUAAUACAUAUAGAUAAAAUUAAUCUUAAUAAUUAAUCUUUAAUAUUUAAUAAUAAGUAAAAAUACUAAAUCAACUAAGAUAAUUGUCUCCAAGACUUAUUAAGACUAUAUUUUUAUAAUUAAUAUUUUAAUUCUUAAUUUAUUAUAAUUUUGGUACUUUAAAUGUAUUUUUUUAUCUUAAAAUAACUAGUGAGACAAUUUGAUGACUCACAUAUGGUGCAUACUAGGAGUCAAUAAUAUCAAUCUCUUUCACCAAAUUACUUAGAUAGUGACUACAUUGAGGACUUCGGGCUAGGAAUGGAUACUAAUAAGGCUUUUUAGUGUAUUUCAAUAUUGAAUAUCACUUGAAGGCUUUGGAUCUUAAUAAUAGAUAUAUUUUAAGAGAUGGAAGAUGAUCUUUGUAAUAUGGUGAGGGAUAAAUUUUUAAGAAGAAUUAAGGGUAUUUCUUUAUUAUAUUAGAGACUCAAGUUUUAAACUUGGAUAAAAAAAAAGUAUCAAAGAUCUCCCACUUGUAAUGAGUGGUAUGCCUUUGAGAUCUUAUGCUAAUACUUAGAACAUAAGACAUUCCAAAUCUAUAAAAAAUGGAAUAAAGAAUACUCACUUGAGUUGCAAGAAGUAGAGCAUUAUUGAGAGGCAUGCAUAGAACUUAUUUCAAUUCUUUAGGAAGGUGCUAUCUCAAGCUUAAUUCCUAUAGUGAAGGAAGAAGAUUUAACUCAUGGAGAGUUUAGGCAUAAUUAAAUGCAAUACAUUCAAGACUUUUGUCAUAAAAAAAAAUGUUUUAUGUACUACAUAUACUCAUUUGUCUUAAUUUGCAAUAGAAUCAAGAAGUUUAUUUGAUGAGAACCAACUUGUUAAGAUUUUUUUAUUUGAAAUUAACGAGAGAUUAUUGAAAUAGCCACACUAAGAAUUAUUUUGAACUAUAAUGGCAAGACAACGUUUGUAUAAAUAUUUGCUAAAGUUGAAAAAUAUAAUAACGUACUUUGUUAACAUGAUAGUAUUGACAUGGUAGCUUGCAUGAUAGAUGUAUCUAAGCACAAGAAGGUUGCAAUUGUGACAAGUAGCUUAGCAAAAAUUCAACCUAAAAGGACUAUGUAUUAUUGGAAGUAUAAUAAAUUUGGUCACACAAAGAAUGAUUUCAAUUGUUUCAAAAAGAAAGUCUUAUAUAUGGAGAAGUCUAACAAAAAGAAGAAAGUCUUACACAUCAAAAAGUCUAACAAAAAGAAGAAAGUCUUACAUAUAGAGAAGUCUAAGCUAAAUGCUAAGAUAAUCAAAAUAAAAGAUAAAUCUAAGAAGAAGUAAUUGAAGUGUAUUUAUUGUGAUAAACUUAACUACAAUGAAGAUAAUUGCUUCAUAUUACAUCCAUAAAAAUAGCAUACUUUAGAUAAAGAAAAAGCUUUCGAAACUAAAAUUGCUAAGCUAGAGAAGAGAUUUGAUAAAAGUCAGGUUAUUAGGCCAAGUCAUUAGAUUUCAUAUGACUUCUAGAAGUGGAAAAAAAAAUUAAAAAUUAUAUAUUUGAUAUAUUGAGACAUAUGGUGGUUACAUCUACUAUAUGUGCUUAAACAAUAGCUAAAAAUAUGGCACCUAUAAUAAAUGAGGUAUUAAAAAUGUUUUUUAGCCAUCUAAGCAAUUAUAGAGAUCUUAAUACUCAUAUACAAUUGCUAUUAUGAUUUGGCCUUGCAGAUGUUAAUUCUAUGACCAAGCUUUCUAUUUUAACUUCAAUAUAAGAUAAAGAUAUUAGUAUUGAAAACAUGGUAUAUACUUUGGAUUAUAAAGUAUUGAAUAUGCUUAUAUUUUUUAGUGUUGACUUGUUGACUUUCGAAUUUAAACCAAUAUGGAUCUUUCAAUUAGCUAGUAAAAUAUUAAAAGAUAAAGUGUCUAUGCCAUCAUUAUAAGGAACUCAAGCAAUCACAAAGUCUUCAACAAAAGAAGAUUUAACUAAGUUACAAGCAAAGCUUGUAACUAAAGCUAUUGCCAUAUUUCUUAAUGGUCAUUUUAAGGCAAUAAAUAUAAAUCCUUCAAGUGAGGUGCCAUUAACUACAAAUGAGUAAUUUUAUCUAAUAUUGCAAUUAGACCUCUUUAAAAAUGUCAAACUUUAUAUCUAAAAAUUGUAAAAUUAAUUAACAAUAACAACAUGCUUGUUAUUAGCUAUAUUAGUAUAAAUAGUACUUAUGCUAUAUCUUUGUAUAUUAUGCUAGAUUUUGAGGUUCAUCUAAUUAUAAUUGGUAUAAACUCUAUUUAAGGUUGCAUCCUUUCUAAUACCUUGAUAGAUUUACUCAAGUUGGAUUUAUAGGUGCACUUCUAUUAAAAAGUGUCUCUUCUCUUAGUUUGCACCUUUGAUAGAAAAAAAUUCAUGACUUCUAUAUGACUUGAAUUCAUUCUUAGAAGUAUUUAUGGCUAUAUUUAGAAAAAAUGAUGAAAAAAAGAUACCAAAGAUCGAGCUUAUAUCACUAUAACAAGGAUCACAUUUAGCGACGACAUAUAUUGUUGAAUUUCAAAAUCUUGUUUGUAAUAUGAAUUGGAAUGAUAAAGUCCUUAUCAAUUAAUUUUGAUAUGGAUUUAAAGAUAAUGUCAAAUUUUUAUUAUUGACAAUAUGAAGAGUAUGUUUAUUAGAGAAAUUUAUUGAAGCCAUUGCAUGCAAAAAUUGAUUCUUUGAAAGAUACAAAGAACAAAGAUUUUAUUGAUGGAGUAUAAAUCAAGCCAUAGCAACACCUUCUAAGUUUUGGGAAGCUUACUCAUCUAAAUCAAAGCCUAUAUAAAUUAACAUGAUACAUUUUAAACCUCUUACUAAGUAAAAAAAAAAAAAAAAAAAAAAAAAAAAAAAAAACUUAUUAUUGUCAAAAAGAUUUGUGCUUAUAUUAUGGAGAAUCCAAGUAUAUUACUCAAUAUUAUCCAAAGAAAUAAUACAAUUACAAAAUAAGGAGCAUGAUUACCGAUGUAUUGAAAAAUAAGUUUUUUCAGCUACAUUAGAAAUUGUGUGGCUAGAAUCUUAUAUAAAACCUAGUUAGAUCAUAUUUUCUUCUUAGAUCCUUCACCUUAUUUUACAAUAGAAGUUUAUUUAUGAUCAAAAGAUCACAAAGUCUUAGCCUUGUUAGAUUUAAGAGCUUCAACUUAUUUUCUAGACAAUGACUUUGUAAAAAAAUAAGAAAUAUUGUUAGUCAUGAAAAUUAAACUUCUAUAUGUAGAAGUCAUAGAUGGUCAUUUGUUGUCUUUUGGAAGUAUUACUCAUGAGACUAUUUCUUUAGGUGUAGCAAUUAAAGAUCAUAAUAGUAUAAUAAUAUUUAAUGUCAUAAGUUCUCUCUCUAAACUAAUUAUUUUAAGAUUAUUGUAGUUAAAAAAAUAUAACCUUCAAAUAGAUUGAAUUUUUUGUAACCUAAACUUUUCUUAUAGUUUAAUCUAAAAUUUCAUUAGUGAAGCAGAAAUUCAUAAGUCUAAUACAUCCAAUCCUUAUUAUUAGGUGCAAAAACUUUCAUACAUGCAUCAAAAAAAGAAUCAUCUUUUGUUAUAUAUGCUUUGUCAUGUCCCCUUUAAUGAAACCAACUUACAUCUAUGCAAUACAAGCACUAUUAUCUUCAUGCAAGAUAGUUGGAGAAUCAUCAUAUGAAAAUCCACAAUUUUUUUGAAUGAAUUUAUCAACUGAUGGCAACCAAAUACAUUCUCGAGAUGCUUCAUAUAAGGCAAUAAUCUUUGCAUGGUUGGAUGUAAUUGUAGAUAUUGUUUGUUUCACUGAUUUCCAUGAUAUUGUAGCUCCAUGUCUUAAAAAUACAUAUCUUGUUUGAGAUUUAGCUAUUGCAGUAUCAGAUUUAUAUUAUGUAUCACAAUAUUCAACUAAUUUUAGAUCUGUAGAUUAUGUGUAGUAUAAUUCCAAGUCUUCAAUACUUUUUAAAUAACGUAAUAAAUUUUUGAUAUCAUUCCAAUAUUUUAGUAUUGGACAUGUACUAUGUCUUGUAAGAACACUAAUUAUAAAUGUAAUAUCUGGUCUUGUAGAUGUAGCUAAAUAUAAAAGUGCUCCAAUCGUUGCGAGGUAUAAAUAUUGAUCUCUCAAUAUUUCCUCUUCUUCCUCACAUGGACGGUAUGGAUCAUGACCAUCACGACUACGUCCAACCAUUGGUGUGGACAAUGGAUAAGCAUUAAUCAUAUUAAAUCUUCACAAGAUUUAUCUAAUAUAAGUUACUUGGUAGAGAAAAAUGCUACCAUCUAUUAGAUGUAUAAUCUGAAGAUCAAUGCAGAAAGUUAUUUUUCUUAACAUUUUCAUCUCAAAUUCACGUAUAAGUAGCUUAGUAGUUGUAGAUGUAGUGCCCACUAAGUUAAAAUCAUCAACAUAUAUAGUAAUAAUUACAAAACGAAUUUUAUCUUGUUUAAUAAACAAAGAAGGAAUUAAUAGAUCACUUACAAACUUAUUUGUAAUUUAAUAAUCUCGAAGAUGUUGAUACCACAUGCAUCCAGAUUGUUUUAAACUAUAUAAGGCUUAACAUAAUUUAAUACGAAGAUAUUGUCGUGGAGUGGGUCCAUUUGGAGUUCUUAUUUCUAAGCCAGGUGGAACUUUUAUAUAAAUAUUUGCAUCAAGAGAACCAUAUAGAUAUGCAGUUACUAUAUCCAUCAGAUGCAUCUCAAGGGUGGCAUGAACUAUCAUUCUAAUAAUAUAUCAAAAUGUAAUUGAAUCCAUGACUAGAAAAUAUGUGGAUUCAUAAUCAAUGCCAAAUUGUAGAUCAUAUACGCUAAUGAUUCAUCUACCAUAAUAGAUGGUCCAUUCCAAAUAUCAUUUGUAGCACAAUACAAAAUAAAUAAUUCUUUACUCAACUUAUUCUUAUUUCUUCUAAUUCCAAGAUUGUUUUUCAUAGGAAUUGAAGGUACAUUAUGCAUAGAUAUAUCAUCAUAAAUUGGUAGUUCCACAGGAUGAGUGGCAAUUUCUUGAGAAAUAAUACCACAAUUAGUCAAUAUUAUAGCUUUCUUCUUACGUGGUUGCUUAUCUGGUCUACGAGUUCUUUUAGUUGUUGUUAUUACAACUUGAGGUAUUCUAGUCAAUGGCACUACAAUCUGAGCAGGUGCAUUUUGAGCCUCAUUACUAGGAACUCUUGUAAUUCUAGGUGCAUCAUUGAAGCUAUCAGAUGUUUCAUCUGUGAUCUGUUUUAGAUGCAAAAUCUUAGCAACUUUGAUUUUUGCCAAAGAUGUCAUAGGAUCGGAAUUCAUUGUAAAUGUUUCUAGUGCUUCAAAUAUGAGUACUUUAUUUCUUUGUUGAUUGGAUACUCCUCCUUGAAGAGAUGGAAAUAUAUUUUCUUCAAAACAAAAUUUUUGCAAACAUGCACAUAAUAAUGUACGAGUUGAUGGAUCAAUAAUACAAAUAAUGCUUGAUGAAUCAAAACCAACAUAUAUGCCUUCUUGUCAAUGAGCUCCAAUGGUACGUGGUUGAGGUUCUGAUACUGGAAUCAAAGCACGGCAACCAAAUACUCGUAAGUGAGAUACAUUUGGAACACAAUCCAAAAUGAGCUCAUGUGGUGAAAUAAUUUUAAGAGAAGAAGGGUGGAGGCGUUGUCGUAAUACAUGAAGUCUUGCUUGAGAAUGCCCUGGGCACUUGAUUGUGGAAGAAAGAAUCGAAAUUGCAAUAACAAAAUUCUAAUUCUAAAAGAAUACUAACAAUGUUUUAAUUAGACCAUAAUAAUGCUAAGCAAGCUUAAUCAAAUUCAAAAGAAAUCUCAAAGAAAUUUCAAACAAACAAUAAGAAUCCUUAAAGAAAUAUUAGAAGGAUCACAAAUAUCACUCAAAUACAUCUCAACUCAAUCUUAAUUUAAUUCGAAUUAAAAUCCUAUUGAACUUCAUUCAUACUUUAAGCCAAAACUAAUUGAAUCUUAAAUCCUAAUAAAAUCCUAAACCCUAAAUCAAACCCUAAACAAACCUUAAACCAAACCCCAACCAAAUCCUAAACCAAAUCCUAAUCCUAAAUCAAAUCCUAACCAAAUCCUAAUCCAAAUCCUAAAUCCUAAAUCAAAUCCUAACCAAAUCCUAAAUCCUAAAUAAAAUCCUAACCAAAUCCUAAAUCAAAUCCUAAAUCCUAAACCAAAUCCUAAAUCCUAAAUAAAUCCUAAAUCCCAAAUCCUAAACCAAAUCCUAAACCCUAAACCAAACCCUAAUCCAAAUCCUAAAUCCUAAACCAAAUCCUAACUAAAUCCUAAAUCAAAUUCUAACCAAAUCUUAAACUAAACAAUAAACCCUAAUCAAACCCUAAAUCCUAUCCAAACCCUAAUCCAAAUCCUAAACCAAAUCCUAUCUAAAUCCUAAAUCAAACCCUAAAUCCUAAAUCAAACCCUAAUCAAAUCCUAAACCCUAAAUAAAUCCUAACCAAAUCCUAAACCAAACCCUAAAUCCUAAAUCAAAUCCUAAUCCAAACCCUAAAUCCUAAAUCAAAUCCUAGUAAUUCCUACAACAAAUUUAAACCUCAAUAACUAAUGAAUAAAUUGUUGAUCUUAAUUCAAAUUUUGCAUAAUUCUACAAAAAUAAGUUAAAAUCAAGUACAAAAAAAUUGAAAAGGAUCGGAGUUACCAAUUUGACGAUAAACUCAAAAAUGUGCUCGGAUAUUGGCCGGCCUCCUUUUCUAUUCUUGAUGCCAAUCUUCCAGAGCCAAUAUUUCUUCUUUGCACCCUUCAAUUGAUCUCAAAAUUCUCAUACAUAUAGAAAAUCAAGUCUAAUAUUCUUUCAUGUAAGUUUCAUUCCAAUCCAACUAGUAGAUUUUAAAAAAUCUUAAAAACCCUCAUUAGAUCUAAAAUUCUAUUUUCUGAGACCUUGACCCACUUAAACCUUAAUAUUCUUCAAUUCAAAAAUUAGAUCAAGCUCAAAUUCAAAACACACAUUAAACACAACUAUAACCAUAAACCCAAAAAAUUUCACCCAUAGAUCUAUUAAAAAACUCUUAAAAUCACCCAAAACGUAAACCCUAUUUUAUUUCAUAAAAUCCAAGUCAUCCAAAACAAACCUUGACUUUGCAAAGCUCUUACAAAGUCAUAUCAAUUCCAAAUCACCCAAAAUCAAUUCCUAUAGAAACCCUAUCCAAUCUUUUCUCAUACCUCACUCUCCGAUCUGCCAAAAAGUCCCAAAGUCGUUGUCGAGACUCAGUUUUGUAUCCUAGGAUCUGUUUUCGACCCUGGUUCAUAACCGGCCCUCUUUGGGUAUCAAUAUCUAGUUUUUCUAAGUAAUUUUUACUGGAAUUUACUCUUAAUUUCUUCCUAAAGAUGUCUAUAUUAUUUAUUUUUCCAAUCUAUCUUUUUUUGCCUUAUUUAUGGCCCUACAAAGUAAGUAGAAGUCACCUUUUUAAAAAGGCAGUAUUGCUACUAAAAGUUUUACUACCUUCUUAUCUUUUAUCCAUAUUUUUCUACUUUUUCUUUUAACUUGGCUCUUCUAUAAUAAGAUCCAUGUUAUCAUCUUUCACUAUGUAGUCUUAUUACAAUACGACAACAUAUUAAUGCUGCAACAUGUAAAAUUGCAUUAUUCCACAUACAUGUAGGUAAAUUUGCAUGAAAGAGGAGUGGUCGAGUAAUGAGUUGUAUACGCUUUAUAAAUGACUCAGCAAGUCUAUUUUGAGCAUGUUCAUAUAGAAACAAUAUGUCAAUUCAAUUCUUGUUGCAGUACAGUAAUCUUUAAAAGAUUUUGAUGCGAAUUCUUUUACAUUAUCCAUACGCAAUAUUUCUAUAGGAUAAUCAAGAAAAUGUGCUCGAAAACAAAUAAACAUAGAUAUAAGAUUGGCAAACACCAUGUUUCAAGUUGAUAAUAAUGAAACAUGUGAUUGUUCACUUGAUGUAUCAACAAGGACCAAAAAAUAAUGAAAUGGUUCUGAUAUUAGAUUAAUAGAACCACAAAUAUCACUAUGCAAUCUUUCAAGCAUUAGUGGUAAUUCUUGUGGGAGUUUCGAAAUUGAAGGCCAAGUAAUUAUUUUACUUUACACGCAUGCACGACACAAUUCCAUAGAGUCUACAUCCGCAAGCUUUAAAUUGUACCCAGUUAUACAUGGAAUGAUCUUUCUAAAUAAUGUAGAUCCUGAAUGUCCUACUUAUCCAUGCCAGAGAGAAACACGACUCUCUGUGAUAGAUGAUGCAAAAUUAAAUAUAAUGGAAUGCCAAAUCACAAUUUGAUAUAAACCAUUUUCUAUAUCAAAAGCUUUUUCAACAACUUUAUGGUUCUUUGCAAGAAUCAAACCUCUUUUUUAUUUAAAAUGGCCGUAGAGAGGUGAUAACCAUUAAUACACACAUCUCAGUAGCUCAUCAGAUUCUGAGGUGCUGAGGGUGCAAACAUUGCAUGUAUAUAUUUUACCUACAGUAGGUAAUUUUACCAUCAUUGUGCCCUCUUAGAAAUAAAAUGCAUUUGCUUCAGUCAUAUUUUUAGUUUGCCAAGUUAAAGAUUUUUCAAUAAAAAAUUGUCUAUCUCACAAGAUAGUAUGUAUUGUUGUAAAAUCAAUGAACGCAUCAUUUGAUUCAUUAUUAGAGGUUUUGUCAUUUAUACAAGCCUCUAAGUCAUCAACACCAAUUGAAUCCAUUGACACAUCUAUGGUAUAAACUUCACGAGCCUCAGCUCGUAGUUUUUUAUUUUUUUGGAAUAUUUUAAUAAAAUAUUUUGAAAUACUGCACGCAUGUGCUAAAUGUCCAAUUAUUCUACACUUAUGGCAAGAACGCAUCUUUGAUUUUUAUUUUCUACUAUAAUUAAUAGUAGAAUAUUUAUUCUUUCCAUAUGGGUAGAAAUAGUCAUGACUAUGACUACCCUGAUAUUUAUGGGCACAUUUUCCAUGUUUAUAUAAUUUUUUCUUAGACUUUGAAAUAUUAAGUGCAUGAGAUUUUGGAAUUGUAGUUCCAAUAGGAUGAGCUUCCGCAUUGCGCAAGAGUAGCUCAUUUUGCUUCUUCACAAGAAGUAGAUAGGACAUGAGAUUAGAAUGACUCUGAAAUUUCAUGUUCUUGUAUUGUUGUAUAAGCAUAGCAGAUACACGAGAAAAUGUAGAGAGAGUUUUCUCAAUCAUUUCUUCUUCAGAGAUGCUUUGUCCACAUAAUUAUAAUUGUGAGACAAUACUAUACAUUUCACUAUUGAAAGUAUUUAAAUUUGGAAAAUCCAAGACACAUAAAUGUGUCCAAUUAUGAUAUGCACGUGGAAGAAAAAUGGUCUUUUGAUGAUCAAACCUCAAUUUAAGAUUCUUCCAAAGUUCUAUAGGAUCUUCCAUUUCCAAAUAUUGAUAUUGUAAUAUAGGUACAAGAUGACAAUGAAGGGAAAGAAGUGCUUUCCAACAAAUAGCAGGAAGAAUAGAAAUACUUAUUAUAGAAGAUUCUUCAAACAUAAUGGCAUCUAAGAGUUAUUCUGCAAAUAAAUUUGCUUUUGCCAUUUUUGCCCAAAAUAGAUAAUUAUUUCCAUCCACAGUCAAUAUUAGAAAUAAAAGAGCUUGAAAAUGUUGGGAUGCACUGAUAAUAGUUGGAACUAUAGUAGAAGCAGUUGAAGAUGUUGAAGCACUCAUUAUAAAUAAAUCUAUAAAGAAAUGCAAGAUCAAGUAGAAAAGUUGAGUAUAAUAUAUCUUAAAAUAUAAAGUCAAAUAAAAUGAUAAACUUGAACUUGAAAAAUAAAACUAUUUUACUUUUUUAUUUUUUUUAUUUUUUUAAUAAGAUUGUGGAUUAAGGCAGCAGAAUAGCAGUAGGACGGCAGGCGGCAACAAGCUGCAGCGGUAGAGUGGAAAGGUAGAGACGACGGCAGGUGGCAGCGGUAGUGGCAACAACGGGCAACAAUGGCAACGACAGGAUUGGCGGUAGUUUGGCGGUUGCUUGACGGCUAUUCGGCAACUGUUCAAUAGUAGGCACGGGACAUAGUAGGGAGCAAGCUGGGCUAGAGCUCGGCUAGAUCAAGUAUUCUAAGCAAGUAUUCUAAGGAAGCAGCUAAUGUAUGAGGGGCCAGCAAGAAGAGCAAGAAGAUCAUGAGACAAAUAUUGAAUAAGAGUAGCAAUAGAUUUGAAGAGUCAAGUCUAUAGCAAAAAAAAAAUUGUAAUAGUUUAUAGAAGAGAGUCAUGCUGAUAACAUGUUGAGAAUGUUUAGAAAGACACAAGAGUAGUAGUAAGUAAUGCACAUACACAAGAAUAGUAGUAAGUAAUGCACAUACACAAGAGUAGUAGUAAGUAAUGCACAUACACAAGAGUAGUAGUAAGUCAUAUACACAAGAGGGUUUCUAAGGAGAGAGAGCUUCACACGUUGAUCUGGUUGUGUCUCGUAUACAAGAAGAGAAAGGAGAGAGGAUAAACAGUUCUUCUCUACUAGACUCUAAAUAUUGUAGCUAUGGUAUUUAUUGUUGUCUACAGUAAAUAUUAUGGAGAGGGCCGGCUACAUUUAAUGCUCUAAACAGUUUGGACCUCAAUUGGACCUCAAUUCUUUUUCUUUUUCUUUUUUUGGUUUUGGUGUGUUCAAUUGGAGCUCCAAAGUUCACGGACUGCGCAGCAGGUUUUUAUUCGUUUCCUGACUAAGUGUGUUUUUUCCUCCGAAUAGCAAAUUGUGUUGUUUUGGUUCCUAGCGGUUGUACGGUGUGCGACGGUUGGUGCUGUGUGGCAGUUUACUUUCUUCUUCUAGUAUUGAGGCUGGACGUCGGCAGAGCCGACGUUGCCCUCCUUGGCUCGAAUUGUUGUCCACAAGUGGAUACUCGGGUAAUCUCUCUUCUUUGGUUGUGAGCGUCUUGCUAUUUGUUCUUUUUUUCUUUUGUUCCUACAGAGUUAAAGUGCUAAAGUCAACGACUAGCUUGUUUUUUCUUCUUCUUCUGAUGUGAUCGAUCGGCGGCUCAAUGGGCAGAGGAUGUAGUUGCAACGCCGAGGAGUGCGUUAUUUUCUAGGUCGUGGAUUUGUGUCGGUGUAGGAGGGGCAUUGCAGCAUUGUAGUGCAGAGUGUUGCAGCAGAAGGCGUUCUUCAACGCUUGUUGAUUUUAGUGCAAUCAGUUACUACGAAGUUGCUGAUCGCUGCAGCACUGCCCUUGUAGUAGAUGGAGUGAUCUCAAGUCAACUUAUUGGGUCGACGCUACCGCAUUCAGCACCUUCUUUCUCGAUAUCGGCUCUUGAGAAGGUUUUGAAUCUUGGUCAUAGUUAUUCACUGCGACUAGUCCUAUCUUGCGGUGCAGAGUUGGGUGUCGUUCGAGUUGAGAUUUAGGUGGUUGCCUGCCUGUGAAAUUUUGAUCUCCAUCCAAUUAUUGUAUUUGCACCUGCCUACUCUCUACGAAGGACUUAAAUGGAAUUUAUUUUUUUCCAUUGUCGGGUCGAAGCUGGGAAGUUCUCUUCUCUCCUUUCAAUCUUUCUGGCCUACCUCGAAAUCGUGUUUUGUUAAAUAAUGUAGGGCUCUUGUUCCUUUUUGGUAUGUGGUUGUCUUAUGAAGUACAACAUUGUUGUUUGCACCUGCUACUGCAGCCUUGAGGUGGUGCAGCUUGGGUUGGAUGGACUGUGCUAGCAAGCCCAAGUGGGAGUUGGAAAUCAAUUACGACGAUCCUGAGUUGGAGAGUUGAAAGUGCAGCAAAGGAUCAUAACAAGUCAUAGAAAAAAUUGUCCUUCAAGUAUUGAGUGCCUUGUAUUGUUUUGGUUAUGUGAGAGUGGUUUUUAAGUAGUAAAGAGCAAUAAGAGUUUAAGACAAAGUAGAAGACAAUUUGAGCAAUUAAAUUGGAAGCUAGUUAAUAGUUGUGAAGUAGAAUAAAUUAUUUAUUAGAGUGAUUUAUUUUAAAUCACCACUAAAUGUUAUUAAGAUGUUAGGCAUAAAUUAAAUGCUAAUCAAUAAUUAUUGAAAUAUUAAAAUAAUUAAAUUAUUGUGAAUUAGAAUGGGCUUCCCACUAAUGGGGCUUUAUUUUAGUUCACACCACGUUGAUGACAAGAUAUGAUUACUUUGUUGUAAUACAAAGACUAGUGGAUAUUGUAACAAGUUGAAUUAUCAUAGACUUGGACUAUUUCUUAUUUGUAUACAACUCAAUCUAAUUGCUCGUUGAUUACAUUUACCAAAAUUUAUGAAGAUCCAUCAUGUAUUCUAUGUAUCUCUUUUUGAGCCAUAUAAGAUAGUGGCUAUAUUUGAAAGAAGAAAAAUAUCACCUCAUUAUAUAGAAAUAGGGAAUAAUCAAGAAUUUAAAAUCAAAAGAUUCAUGUACUUAAAGUAAUGCUAAAAUAGGUUAGAAUAUUUUCUACAUUGGCAUAGAUAUGAUAUUGGUAAACACAUAUAGAAGCCAUUUAAGAAUCUUACAAAUGCAAUAAAAAAAAAGUUGAUACUUUUUAUUGAUGAAAAAUAAUAAAAUUCUCUAUUGUAAUGUAUAUCAAAUUUAAUGAGGAUUGUAUUCUAUUUUUUAUUCUUCUACAUAGUUUUGAUAUAUUUGUAGUACUAAAAAAAUAAAAUAAAAUAAAAAUUAGCAAAUUCAACUAAAAGCAACCAUUUGUUAAGUUAUCAAAUGAAGCAUUGAGAUUGUCACAACCUUCAAGACAACAUAAUAGAAUUGAAGACCUUCAAGACUAACAUAUUCUUCCUUGAAUAGAUCACAAAAUACAAUGUGUUUGAUAUCACGAUCUUGAAAGAAACUUCCAAUGUUUAAUAAUAUAAUUAGAUAUAAAAACCAUCAUUGAUAGUAUUUAAAAUAUUUUAUUUGAAGGUAGUUAUGAAGGCCUCAAUAAUAAUCAAAUAACAAGGUAACUUUUUUAGCUUGACAUAAAAUACUAUUGAUAGUUAAGAGGACCUAUCAACUAUCUUUGAAGAAAAUAAAUAUCAAAAUAUGUAAUAAAUAUAAUCUUUUAUAUUGUGGACUUUUUCAAUAUGUAAUCACCACUACUUGUGGAACUUGUCUUUAAAAGGGUGAAAUAAUAUAUAUAUAUAUAUAUAUAUAUAUAUAUAUAAAUAAUAAUUAAAUAGAAAUAAAUAGAAGUAAGUAGAUUUGAUAAUAUCUUAUUAAAAAGCUUCUUAGAAGCUCCAUAAAUAUGGAUUUGACUUUAUAUAUGUCUAUAAAUGAUUAAUAGGUUAAAAACUUGGCUAAUAAAUUAGCCAUGUAUUGUACAUGUUGGCCACUUAUGUUACAAGUUUAUCAUGUGGUAUACAUGUGAAACUUAUCUUGCAAGUUAGGCAUGUACAUUGCAAGUUGAAUAUGCAUUGGAGGUCCUAUAUAACAUUGUCAUAUAGCUUCUACUUAGAUGGUAUAUAUAGAGGUAAGAAUGAAGCCUUCUUUACUCUUAUCAAUGCAUUUUUUUUUUUUUUUCAAUCUUGUUUUAAGUGUCUCAAGUCUUUUUGUCUUUAGCAAUAGCCAUUCUAGUUUUAAUAUACUAUCUUUGAGUUAUUAUCUAUUCUCUUUUAAUGAUACAAGAACAUACUUAUUUUUUAUUCUUUAUAAUUAGUAUCUUUGAUAAAAGAUCUAUCAUAAGUUGUAUCUUUAUAAUAGGUAUAUAUUUAAUAAUAGCCCUUUAAAUUAAAGAAUAUUAUAAAAAUAUUAUAAAAAUAAUUUAAAAAGCCAUAUAGUUAAAAAGAUUUGCUAGUAAAUUUAGAUUGGUACAAAAUUAGAUUUUAUUAUAUAUUGAUAGUCAAAGUAUUAUAAAUUUGGUAAAAAAAUCAAGUUUAUAAUUUUAGAACAAAGUUCAUAGAUAUUACACAUUAAAAAGAUAGGUACAAAAAUAGAUAUUAUAAAUAUGAUGAAGAAACUACUAAUCAAUUAAAAGUUUAAUAUAGAUUUAAAUAUAUUACGUGUAACAUAUGAUUAAUAAAAAAAUAUUUGUAUACAUGUGAUAUAAAAAUCUAUAAUUCUUUAUAUUUUUUUAUUUAAAUAAAUUUAAAUAAAGAAGAAGUUGUAAAAACAAUGCAUUGUAUUUCUUCUAUUUAAUGUUUAUAAAACAAUGAUAGACUUCUUUGCCAUUUAAUAGAUAUUCUUAUAUAAGUUAUACUUCUUACUUUUUAACAAAUAAAUACUUCUUAAUUCUUACAAAAUAAUAAUUAUAUGAAUAUAUAUAUAUAUAUAUAUAUAUAAAGAGAUUCAAAUUUUAUAAAGUAAUUCUAUUCUAUUAUUAAUUUUAAUAAGAUAUGCAGAUAUAUAUAUAUAUAUAUAUAUAUAUAUAUAUAUAUAUAUAUAUAAAUACGGUUUUAAAUUGUAUCAAUUGAAAAGAUUAUACCUAUUAGAAUAAUAUUGCAUUCAUUAAAUUAUUAAAUUUUAAAGUACUACAUGAUAUUGUAAUAAAAAAGAGUCUCUUUAGGCAAAUAUACAACUUUUAACUAUAAUUUAGAUGUUCUUAGAAACUAUGAGAAUUUAAUAAAGCUCAAAUUAAUAAGGCAUUUUCAUUUUUAAUCUUUAUAAAAAAUUAUUAUGGUAGAAAAUCUAAGAUAUAUAAGAUGAUAAAAGAAAUGUGUCAAAAAAAUUAAUCGAAAUAAAACUAAUAAUGAUGUGCUUAUAUAUAGAAAAAUUUAAAAAUCUUAGUUAUAAGUAAACUAAGCAAUAUUGAUCAAUAAGUGUGUUGCAAUCAAAUAUAACAAUUCAGAUCAAAGGAUAAACACAAUUAUAUGUAAUUUAAAGUUAAAUAAAAAAAUAUUAAUUAUAAAGUUUUAAAAUGAGAUUUAAAAAUGAGAUUUGAUGUGUAAACAAUAAAAAAGGGAUAUUUCAAAAUACUUCAACAAUAAAAUAUAUGACAUUAAAAAAUUAAAAAUAUUAGAUAUAAUAAUUUAAAUAUUAUAUAUAUAUAUUAUAUAUUUUCAUGUUUCCAUCAAUAUAAUUUUUUUUUUAUUGAUUUGAGCUUUAUUAAAUUCUCAUAGUUUCUGAGAACAUCUAAAUUAUAGUUAAAAGUCAUAUAUUUGCCUAAAGAGACUCUUUUUUAUUACAACAUGUUGUAUUUUAAAAUUUAAUAAUUUAAUGAAUGCAACAUUAUUCUAGUAGGUAAAAUUUCAUUGAUAUAAUUCAUUGAUAAAAUUUUAAACCAUAUAAAAACAUAUGUAUAUAUGCAUCUUAUUAAAAUUAGACUCAAAAUCACAAAUGAAUGGAAAUUGAUAAUAAAAUAGAUUUAUUUUACUAUAUAUAUAUAUAUAUAUAUAUAUAUAUAUAUAUAUAAUUCUAUUGAGCUAAAAAUCAAAGCUUCUAAAAUUCUAAAAAUGUUUUUAGAAAAUAUUCUAAAUAUUUUGCAAGAAUAAAGAAGUAUUUAUUCACCAAGAAGUAAGAUGAAGUAAGAAGUAGAACUUAUACAAGAAUAUCUACUGAAUAGCAAAGAAGCCUAUCAACAUUAAUAGUUAGAAAUAAUAAAAUAUUAAUUAGAAAAAGAAAUUAAUUAAAGAAGCAUUAAAAAGAUAAAAGAAGUAAUAGCCAAGGUUUAUAAGUGGUGCAAAAAAGUAAUGUAUUGGAAAGAAAUUAAGUAAGUAGCAACAAAUGAGAGAAACUCAGUUAAGAAAAUAAUUUAGAAAAUUAUUUUAUGUGAUCAUAGAACAAUCAGAAUUUGAAGCUAUAGAAUGAUAAAAUUUAAAAAAUGGGUCUACGGAAAAAUCAAUAUUUUAUUAAAUUUUAGAAAAAAAAUAAAAAAUAUAUAUUGAUAUUAUUUUAAAAUUAUAUACAAUUCCUUUUAUAUUUUAAUCUUCUAAAUAAAAUUUUUUACAUUUACUUUUUUAUAAUAGUAUUACCAAUCUAUACUCUUUUGACAAACAAGUUGUGUUAUAUUCAAAGUCCUAAACAAUAUUUUUAGUUUCUUUUCAAGAUAAAACCACAUUGUACAUUAAAAUAGAUACUCUUCUUUUAACUCUACACAUAGAAGAAGAAAAAUAAAUAAAUAAAAACGCACAUCACAAUAGUGUAACAAAAAAAAAAUCCUUUAAGUUUUUUUACUGUAUAAAAUCAAGUCAAACAACUAGGUUUGCAAUAGGUCCACUUCAAAGAACUGGUUUUUACAACAAUUCAAAAAGUUGCUCUUAAUUAUAUACUAUAUAUAUAAUCACCAUAUUUAGUUUUAUAUAUAUAUAUAUAUAUAUAUAAUUUCAAUUUCAUGGCCUCUUCUUACACUAAACUAUCUUUGAAUGCCAAGACUUCCAAAGAAAAACUCUUCACCAAAUAAUAAAUUUUUGUAAAUCUUUUGUACCACAAUCUAUCAAAACGGACUUCUAAAUAUAUAUAAAACCUAGUAAAAUAAAAUUCGAAAUGAAUUCUCCACCAAGUCAUGUCUGAAUGCAUCAACCUCAUCUGCUCCCCCUCCUCCCGUAUGAAGCAAUAAUCCAACAAGCCUCUAAGAUUGCAAGCCUGUGGAUGCUUGAGGGUCUAGAACUCAACAGAACCUCAUGAACUUAUAGCUUAUAGCGGUAGGUACAUGCAGCUGGGAUGGGGUGCCCUGCCCGGCCAAGCAUGAUUGCACUGCCAAGACAGCAACUGAUCACGGCCGCAGGAGCAUCCUCUUCUGGUGACCGCAGAGAUGUGUCGCAGAAACCUCCCUUCUCAAUCGACUGGCUCCACCAUCGUGGGCCGUCGGAUCGCAGUUUCCGCUAAAAUUAAUCUCAACCGCCGAUCGGAUUACUGAGAACAGAGGGAGGGAACGUCGAGGAACCAGGGGGCGGGCAGUUUGGGAACUCAGAACCCAUUUCUCCUUGGGCCCGCACUGAUCCUUCCUCACAUGGGGUGCUGAAGUUUGUUUAGGGGGAUGCCCCAUCACUCUUCUUUCAAACUAUAUUUUUUUGUUGUCAUACACAACAGCCCACGAUGGCGGAGCUAGUCGAUUGAAUAGGGAGGUUUCUGCGACAUGAAGUGACGAGGCCAAGAGUAUCCCAGCCAGAGCCCUAGAACCAUAACUUAGCAUCUGCCCAGCUUUCUCCUCCUCGAAAGCCGCACUAAUUUAAGUAAAAAGAAAGUUCACGUUCAGCUUGCAGACACGAGAGGUAUAGUAAGCGCCAGCUACGAUAGAUCGAAUAUAAAACACACACCACUUAUCCCAGGCUAAUGGUGGCGAGGGACGCAGAAGAUGCCGGCUCCCUAGUCCGAGUCAAUGGAUCAGUGUCCGAAUGGGACAAACAAAGUUGCUAAAAGUAAACAUGAGUGGUCGGGCUGGUAUAUUUCAGCCAAGCUUCCGAAAACUCUGUAGUUAUAUUUAAAUUUAGCAAUGUUUCAUUUUAAUGCACAAUGGAAAACAUUGAGCUGACCCAAUUUGGCUUAAAUCAAAACAUUUCACAAUCGCGUCCAAGGAAAACAAACAGUAAUUUUUAUUUCUUCCUUAGAAUUCACACCCUGUAAAUGCAAAUAAAGCUUUUUGCCUUUCAAAUUUUGGUUGAGUACUUCUGGUUAAGAUUUAUUCCAUUGUAAAUUCUUGAUUUAAAGGAAUUGCUUCUCUUUUGACAUUUUGAAUAUUUUAUAUGAUUAAAUUUAAAAAAUCUAUACAAAUUAUGAAUAUAAAUUGAAUUUUAUAAUUUAAGUUUGUAAGUAAAUGGAUUUUUUUAUAUGUAUAAUAAAUAAAUUAAAUUUUUCAUAAUCUAACUUGUUACAAGAUCAAUUAGUCUAUAUAUAGUCAAUUAUAAAACAAAGUAACUGUACUUUAUUACCCAUUUUAAAUUAUUUAAUUUUAUUUAUAUAUAUUAGAGAGAAUAUUAAAAUAAAUUGUAAAUAGAAUAUAGAUCCUACCUCCACCAAAUCCAAUUUAUAUUCUAUUAUAACUUGUUGUAAAUAGAAUAUAGAUCCUACCUCCACCAAAUCCAAUUUGCUCUACUCUCAAAUAUACUUUGCUCUAAUCUAAUCUCAGAUCUAUUCUACUUAGCUCUCAUGUUUAAUAUACUUUGCUUUCAAAUCUAUUAUGCUCCAUUCCAAGAUUUAUUUUGCUUUCUAGAUCUUUGAUUACAGCAAAAUAAACUUAAGAGUAGAGCAGAGUAGUUUUGGAAACACAGCAUAGUUGUUUUGAGAGUGGAGUAGAAUAGAUUUGACAAUGGAGCACAGUAGAUUUGAAAGUUGAGUAUAACAAACCUAAGAUUGGAUUAAAAAAAAAAGAUUUACAAAUAGAGCAAAAAAUAUAUGGCAGAAGUAGGAUUUGUAUUCUAUUGACAAUAGGUUAGUUUAAAAAAUGUAUGAAUUGAUUUCAUAUUAUGAUAUAUAUAUAUAUAUACAUACAUACAUACAUACAUAAUUUAUAGUUCUUCUGUAUAUGUAUAUAGAUAUAUUUUUUUGCAAAAUAUUUUGUUAUAAGAUUGUUAUUAUAAAAAAUAUAAAUUAUGAAAUUAAUUAUAAUUAGGAAAAUAGUGUUUGUUAAAUAGAUUUUUUUAGUUUACUGAAUAAAAAUAUUUAUUUGAGUUUAUGUAAAAAUUACGAUAAUUAUAUUAGUAAUAAUCUAUUAUCUUCUUUAAAAAAUAUUUAAAAAAUAUUAAUUAAAUUUUUAUCUACAUAGGCUUUUAAUUAAUUUUGUUUAAAAGUAUGAUAUUAAAAGUAUAUUAUACUAUUUUAUACAUUUUCAAAACUUAGGAAAAAAAAUGUCGUAUUGUGUUGUAUUGUGUCUCAAUAAUAUGUUAGUUUGGCAAAGUAAAAAAAAGAAAAAGGGUUGAUAAUAACAAAUUAAAUAAGCAACUAAAUAGAUAUUUUGAUGUAAUAUAUUUAAAACUUGAUGAUAUACUAUUGAAUAUUGAUAUCUAUAGAAAUUGUAGGAUACACAGAAGUUGAAUAUUUUAAAAGAAGUAGAUUAAUGAGGUAUUGCACAAUUAAUAAAUAUUCUUCUAAUAUCUCAUUUCACAUUGUUUUUUUUAUACAAUGUUCUACUAUUAAGAAAAUAAAAGAAAGUAUAUGAUUAGCAUUCUGCUGCUUUUAAAAAGACUACAUAAAGGAACAGGUGGCAAACAUGAGGAUCUUUAGAGGGAGAUGAUAGACUUCGUGAAGGAGACAUUUUUGUAGAUCGUACGUGAGGCAACGACAAGGAAACUCAAUGGCGGGGGGAGAGGGGGGGGUCCAUGUCAGCACACGGCCAUGCAUGCGAAGCAGAGCCUCUCGGGAGCGAUCCAGGGGGCACAACCUCAUAAUGCGAAGGGGUGAGCCCCCAGCCACACCCCCAAACGAGGUUGGCAUGGGUGAACCAGGCCAAUUUGGAUCCCCCCAUCAACGUGAUUCUCAUGGGAGGAGCCCCCCCCCCCCCCCCGCUCUGAUCCUGCUCUCAGCCCUGCGAAGCGAGUUUUGCAUGGGACAGUCAAUCCCAUCGCAUUGUGUCCAAGCGUUGGACGCCCUCUGACACAAAACUUUUCAGACAACGCAGUUUCAGAAAUUUUCUGAAACCUGAGCACAAUCGGGAGUGGCUGCAUCGGAAGCGUCCAUGGUCGAUGGAUAAGGGAUCGAAGGGUGCUGGUCCUCCACCUCGACGGGAAUGUGCAGUGUGCGACGGGGCGAAUCGCAGUGGAAUCGGACAAAUAACCGGUUACCACCCUCCGCAGUAUAUAAAUCAUUCCGGAUGAUAGCUAUAUCUCAGUGCUCAUCUCAAGCAUCCAGUGAGACUAUCUGGGUAUCAGUCGCAUUUAAUUGAAGACUCCGCGGUAAGCAGGACGCGACAUGUGGCCGGAAGCCUAUCAGCCCGUGUUGUUGGAUCUUUGUGUGCAUUCCCUCGUUGUGCAAUGUUCUUUGCCCCAAAUCCUUCAGCUGGCGGACUGCUGUCGUUGCUAAUUGAAUAGCUCAAUCAGUGAUCCUUGACUUUGCAGGGAUAGUCGACACUUCAACAUGGCGUCCAGCUCCAGGGCCUUGUACCUUUUCAUAUUCUCUCUGGCACUAUGUCACUCAGUCAAUGCGGGGAUGAGCAACGUCGAGAAAAUUCAGCUGGCUUUCAAGCAGAUCACCACUGCGUCCGACAACCUCCGCAAGGAAACGCAGUUGAUCAACAUCAUCAAUGCUCCGCUCCAGGGUUCCAAGAUUGCUGAGGGAUUCGCUAAAAUCAUCAGCGCCAUCGCCGAGUACACGAUCAAGAUUAACGAGGGUGGCGUCAAGAACGACAACAGUCCUCUGCCAGACGCGGACGCUAAGCUCGUCGUGCAAUCCCUGACGACCUUCGUGCAGGUGCACCAGGCAUUGCUCAAUGUGGUGAUCGGCAAGCACGGCCUCCUUACUUUGAUCCCGUUCUUCGAGCCCAUCAGGUUGUCGCUGGUGUCCCUGGAAGCAACCAUAGACGCCUUCGCGUUUGCCCUCAUCGCCGAAAUCCCCACCCAGAAGCCCGCCGCAGAUGUGCAAUUCGGGUCCCUCAGUAUAACUCUCCAGGUUGCCAUCACCACCUACUCGUCGCCCAUAUUGGAAUCGAACAACCUGCAGGAGAUGAACACUACUGAGAAAAUCGUGCUGGCGUUCAAGCAGAUCACCACUGCGUCCGACAACCUCCGCAAGGAAGUGCAGCUGAUCAACAUCAUCAAUGCUCCUCUCCAGGGCUUCAAGAUUGCUGAGGGAUUCGCUAAAAUCAUCAGCGCCAUCGCCGAGUACACGAUCAAGAUUAACGAGGGUGGCGUCAAGAACUACAACAGUCCUUUGCCAGACGCGGACGCCCAGAUCGUGGUGCAAUCCCUGACGACCUUCGUGCAAGUGCACCAGGCAUUGCUCAAUGUGGUGAUCGGCAAGCACGGCCUCCUUACUUUGAUCCCGUUCUUCGAGCCCAUCAGGUUGUCGCUGGUGUCCCUGGAAGCAACCAUAGACGCCUUCGCGUUUGCCCUCAUAGCCGAAAUCCCCACCCAGAAGCCCGCCGCAGAUGUGCAAUUCGGGUCCCUCAGUGUAACCCUCCAGGUUGCCAUCACCACCUACUCGUCGCCCAUAUUGGAAUCGAACAACCUGCAGGAGAUGAACACUACUGAGAAAAUCGUGCUGGCGUUCAAGCAGAUCACCACUGCGUCCGACAACCUCCGCAAGGAAGUGCAGCUGAUCAACAUCAUCAAUGCUCCUCUCCAGGGCUUCAAGAUUGCUGAGGGAUUCGCUAAAAUCAUCAGCGCCAUCGCCGAGUACACGAUCAAGAUUAACGAGGGUGGCGUCAAGAACUACAACAGUCCUUUGCCAGACGCGGACGCCCAGAUCGUGGUGCAAUCCCUGACGACCUUCGUGCAAGUGCACCAGGCAUUGCUCAAUGUGGUGAUCGGCAAGCACGGCCUCCUUACUUUGAUCCCGUUCUUCGAGCCCAUCAGGUUGUCGCUGGUGUCCCUGGAAGCAACCAUAGACGCCUUCGCGUUUGCCCUCAUAGCCGAAAUCCCCAC
rnacentral:lncRNA from 1 species